rnacentral:rRNA from 1 species
GUGAACCUGCGGAAGGAUCAUUAUUGAAUAUACUUGAUGGGUUGUAGCUGGCUCUUAGGAGCAAUGUGCACGCCUGUCUUGCAUUUUAUUCAUCCACCUGUGCACCUUUUGUAGUCUUCUGGGGAUUGAGAGUGGCCGACUAUCGAGAACUUCUCGGAUGUGAGAGAUGCUUGCACAACAAAAAGUGCAGCUCUCCUCAAAUGGUCGCAAACCUUCCCUGGAGUCUAUGUUUUUAUAUUCAUAUACCACGUAGUAUGUUGCAGAAUGAAUUCAGUGGGCCUUUGUGCCUAUAAAUGAUCUAUACAACUUUCAGCAACGGAUCUCUUGGCUCUCGCAUCGAUGAAGAACGCAGCGAAAUGCGAUAAGUAAUGUGAAUUGCAGAAUUCAGUGAAUCAUCGAAUCUUUGAACGCACCUUGCGCUCCUUGGUAUUCCGAGGAGCAUGCCUGUUUGAGUGUCAUUAAAUUCUCAACCCCUCUAACUUUUGUUGGAAGGGGCUUGGAUAUGGAGGCUUGCUGGCCCUUUGUUAAAGAAGGUCAGCUCCUCUGAAAUGCAUUAGCGGAACCGUUUGCGAUCCGUCACAGGUGUGAUAAUUAUCUACGCCGUGUAUAGUCGCUCUCUGUCUGUUCA